ensembl:snRNA
GUGUUUUUGAAAGGACAAAAGGUUAGCACUACCCUUGACAAGGAUGGAAGAGGCCCUCAGGCCUAAAAAUUAAAAAAAAAAAGAUGAGGACUUCAU